AUGGAUCCGGGCGGGACGAUGCUACUGGAGGACUUCGGGCAGCGGGUGUACCUGACGCGCCGCAUCCGCGAGGUGAUGGCCAACUACCCGAAGGGCACCACCGCGCUGCGGGAGCUCAUCCAGAACACCGACGACGCCGGGGCCUCGCGGGUCCGCCUCUGCCUCGACCAUCGGCGGCAGGAAGAAGGCCUCCCAGGCCUGGAAGACCGGCCGCUUCGGCUCGUGGUGCUCAAGCUCAACGGAGGCCUCAGCACCACCAUGGGCUGCACCGGCCCCAAUCCAGUUAAACUAGUACCAGCUUCAUGGAGAAAUGAAAUUGGUCUUGUAUAUUUCCGCUUCAUUUUUAAGUUCUACCACCUUCAGCAGUCCCUGAACAAGAAGUAUGGAUGCAGUGUUCCUUUGCUUCUAAUGAACUCUUUCAACACUCAUGAUGACACACAGAAGAUUGUUGAGAAGUACUCCAACUCCAACAUUGAAAUUCACACUUUCAACCAGGCCCUGCAUGACAAGCUCAUGGUGCUCAAGCUCAACGGAGGCCUCGGCACCACCAUGGGCUGCACCGGCCCCAAGUUAUUUGCAUCUUGA
rnacentral:rRNA from 1 species